rnacentral:misc_RNA from 1 species
AAGUCGUAACAAGGUUUCCGUAGGUGAACCUGCGGAAGGAUCAUUACAACGUAUCCACGUACAAACUCACGAACUGUUCCCUUUAGAGUAAACAACUUGUGGAUGAAGUUAAUGGCUGAGAUGCUCUUGCUGAUGGAGUUCUGGAUUUUAAUCUGGAACUGAGAGCUCUCGGCCGCUGGCAAGAAAUUGCUGGGACUUCGUUUACUCUACUGCGGUUUUGCCGCCCAUCAGCGGUGUUGUAUUAACCCUUUAAAUUCUGAACUGAACUCAAAAACUCUGCUGACGUCCUUGCUGGCUUCGGUCACGGACUAGCGCAGCGCGAGUUUGUAAAUUACGAAACAAAGAACAACUCUUAGCAACGGAUAUCUUGGUUCUC